CCGUAUUUGAGUUUGAUCCUGGCUCAGGGUGAACGCUAAUAGUAUGCUUUACACAUGCGAGUCGUACGAAAAUUAAAUUUUCGUGGCGAACGGGUGAGGAUAACGUAAAAUUCUACCUUUCAGUUUAGGAUAAAACAUAUCUGUAAUAAAAUUUUAUAUUAUUGAGAAUAAAUUUUUCAUUAAAUUUAAGUUAAAACUAAAAAAAAAAUAAUUAAUAAUUAUUUGCUGUUAGAUGUUUUUGCGUAAGAUUAGGUAGUUGGUAAUUUAAUAGAGUACCAAGCCUACGAUCUUUAGUUGAUCUUAGAGGAUGAUCAACCACACUGGAACUGAGACAAGGUCCAGGCUAAUUUUUUUGGCCAGCAGUGAGGAAUAUUGGACAAUGAACGAAAGUUUGAUCCAGCAAUACUAUGUGAAUGAUGACGGCUUUUUGGUUGUAAAGUUCUUUCGUUAACAAUGAUAAUGACAUUAGUUAAAGAAGUUUUAGUCCCGGCUAAUCUCGUGCCAGCAGCCGCGGUAAUACGGGAGGGGCAAGCGUUAUCCGGACUAACUGGGCGUAAAGGGUCCGUAGACUGUACUGUAAGUUAUUUGUUAAAACUUAAAGCUCAACUUUAAAAAAGCAUUUAAUACUACUGUACUUGAGUUUUAUGCAGAAGAGUAGAAUUUUAUAUUGAGGAGUAAUUCCCGUAGAUAUAUGAAGGAAUACCGUUAGCGAAGGCGACUCUUUGGUAAAAACUGACGUUGAGGGACGAAAGUAUAGGUAGCAAACAGGAUUAGAUACCCUGGUAGUCUAUACUGUAAAUUAUGAGUGCUGUAAUUUAAAAAUAAUUUUAACUAAUAUUUUUAGAUUUUUUAAGCUAACGCCAUAAGCACUCCGCCUGAGGAGUACGAUCGCAAGGUUGGAACUCAAAGGAAUUGACGGGGGCCUACAACGAGUGGUGGAGCAUGUGGUUUAAUGCGAUAAUCCGCGCAAAACCUUACCAACCCUUGACAUAAAAAAUUUUGAAAUUAAUUUCAGUCAAAUUGAUUAUUUAAUAUCUAAUUUUUUUGAAUUUAAUUUUUUACAGGUGUUGCACGACUGUCGUCAGCUCGUGUCGUAAGAUGUUUGGUUCAUUCCUUUAACGAGCGCAACUCUUAUUUUCAUUAAUUGUUAUAUUUUAAUUUUUUUAAUUUAUAAACUAAAGUGUUGAAAAUAUUAUCAAUUAUAAGUUGAAGGAAGAUGAGAAUUAAGUCAAGUCACUGUGGCCCUUAUGGGUUGGGCUACACACGUGCUACAAUGAAAAAUACAAUGAGAUACUAAAAUAUAUCCAAAUUUUAGUUAGUCUUUAAAAUUUUUCGUAGUUCAGAUUAUAAGCUGCAACUCGCUUAUAUGAAGGUGGAAUCACUAGUAAUCGCAAAUCAGCAUGUUGCGGUGAAUAUGUAUCUUGGCCUUGUACACACCGCCCGUCACAUGCAGAGAGUUAGUUUUAUUUGAAGAUUUUAAAUUAGGUUUAAUUAUUCUGUACUAAGAAUAUUGUUAACCUGAUAAAUCCAUUAAAAAAUUGAUGAUUUGGAUGAAGUCGUAACAAGGUAGCUGUACGGGAACGUGUAGCUGGAAUAUAGUGAAA
rnacentral:rRNA from 1 species